UACAUAGGGGGCAAGCGUUGUUCGGAAUUACUGGGCGUAAAGGGCGCGUAGGCGGCCUGCUAAGUCGAACGUGAAAUCCCUGGGCUCAACCCAGGAACUGCGUCCGAUACUGGUUGGCUUGAAUCCGGGAGAGGGACGUGGAAUUCCAGGUGUAGCGGUGAAAUGCGUAGAGAUGUGGAGGAAUACCGAUGGCGAAGGCAGCCCCCUGGGAUGAAACUGACGCUCAUGCACGAAAGCGUGGGGAGCAAACAGG
rnacentral:rRNA from 1 species